AGCUAAUGUCUCCUGUACUCGUCUGGCGUCACUUGUGGCAGCAUGUGCAGCCAACCUGCCGCCUUUGCCAAGAUUGUACACGCUGGGAGUAAGAGCAAUCAAUCUCCUGACGCCACCACCGUCUACUGCUCAUGCGAUAAUUGAUUGUACUGCAGCAGCAGUUGCCGUUUUCACUUGCUGAAGCUGCAGUCCUUUUUUUUCUUUUUUCUUUUUGAGCUGCAGUCCCCUGGUCGAAGUGUUGGAAACGAAAGUAAGAACAAGGCAGUAGGAUUUGGAACAAACAGGCCGGCGCUAGACGCGAGGCCCCGUGUCGCUCCCCCCGCGGAGCGGCCCGGGCGCCAAACCAUAGCCGCCUACCCAACAAACACCCCUCCCUCCGCCGCCGUUGGCGAACGCCGUCGAGCAAAGCCUGCGCGGCGUCGGCGGCGGCGGGCCUUUCUCUCGUCUCUACCGGUGGUGGAGUUGUGCGGGGCAGCUCCCCUGUGCGGAAGAGGUGUUUCGUCGACGCGGCCGUGCGGUGGGCG
rnacentral:lncRNA from 1 species